CCUCUGGAUAAAAAUAGAGAAAAUGAAAAAGAGAAAAAAUCAGUGAUCUGUGUCAAGGGCAAUAUUGCGAGUGGGAAGACGACAUGCCUGGAGUUCUUCUCCAAUACAGCAGAUGUUGAGGUGUUAAUGGAACCUGUGCCCAAGUGGAGAAACGUCCGUGACCACAAUCCUCUGGUGUCACCAGUACAGCUGAUGGAGAGGUCGAUUCAUAGUGCAAGAUAUGUUUUUGUAGAAAACCUUUAUAAAAGUGGGAAGAUGCCUGAAGUGGACUAUGUGAUUCUCUCUGAAUGGUUUGACUGGAUUAUGAAGAAUAUAAAUGUCUCUGUUGACCUGAUAGUUUAUCUCCGGACCACUCCUGAGACCUGUCACCAGCGAUUAAAGAUGAGGUGUAGGGAAGAGGAGAAGGUCAUUCUGCUGGAGUACCUUGAGGCCAUUCACCAACUCUAUGAGGAGUGACUGGUCACAGGCAGCCUCUUCCCUGUGACAGCCCCUGUUCUGGUGAUUGAGGCUGACCACAACAUGGAGAAGAUGUUACAAAUACUUGAACAGAAC